rnacentral:rRNA from 1 species
AUGUUUGUUACACAUGACCUAUUACUGCUGGAGAACCAAAUUCCGUUUUUCGUAGUUGAGGCAAUAUAUGAGGUAGCAAUUUCAAACAAGAUGGCACCAUCCACUACCUGUAAACCAAGUGUUGUCCGAUACAUAGAAACGUAUGCGUCAUUCUAUCAAACAGCAAUACGAGAGUCCAGUCGUCCACAAGAUUUUGAUCAUUUGCUAAACUUGUGUCAUAUGUAUUUCAGACCCAGUUCUAACCAGGAUGAACACCAUGACCAUACAUCGCAAAACUAUAUUCAUCACUUACUUCAGCUGGGACGAGAUUACCUCAGUCAUUUAGGUUCAUCACAGUAUCACCAUUUCCCAAACCGAUGGCGCCGGGCAACACAAUAUCAUGAAGCUGGGAUUGAGUUUAGGAUGACAACAUAUUCUGAUCAUAACCCCCAUUCCCUCCUGGAUAUAAAGCUCAGAGACGGUAUCCUGGAAAUCCCAUCCUUGCAUGUAGAUGAAGAAACUAAUGUUCUUUUCAGGAACUUCAUAGCACUAGAGCAAACAUGUCCUCAAGUAGGAAAUGAUGUCACUGCUUACAUUAUCUUUCUGUCCAAGCUGAUGAGCAUGCCAGAUGAUGUAGCACUGCUGGCUCGCAAAGGAAUCAUCGCGCAUCAUAUGCGCACUGACAGAGAUGUAUCACAGCUUUUUACCAGGCUGACAAAAGGUGUUGUCUUCGAUUUCUACGGGAACUAUUACCUCAAUCACCUGUGUUUAGCCCUGGAGGCAUAUUAUCAAAACCGUCUGCAUAGGUGGGUUGCGUGGCUGAGGCACAACCAUUUCAGCAACCCAUGGCUGGUGGUCGCAGCAUUGGCUGGUGUUACUGUGCUUUUCUGCACCAUUGCACAGACUGUCCUUACUGUCGAGUCUUAUGUUAAUCCCAAGUAA